UGGGCGCGGGAGGCGGCGCCGCGCGGCUGGGGUGUCCGCAGCGCUGAGAGGGCAGGCUCGGCCCCGCCGCCGCCGCACAGGCCUCCGCCGCUCGGCACCCCCCGCGGCGCCUCGCAGCGCCGGUUCUGCACCCAGAGAGGCGCCCGGCGUUUAGCGGACCUCCAUGUACGACAAUUUGUACCUGCAUGGAUUUGAAGACUCGGAGGCGGGCUCAGCAGAUUCGUACACAAGCAGACCCUCAGACUCUGAUGUCUCUUUGGAAGAAGAUAGGGAAGCAAUCCGCCAAGAAAGAGAGCAGCAAGCAGCUAUUCAACUUGAAAGGGCAAAGUCCAAACCAGUAGCAUUUGCUGUUAAGACUAACGUGAGUUAUUGUGGAGCUCUGGAUGAAGAUGUUCCUGUCCCAAGCACUGCCAUCUCUUUUGAUGCCAAGGACUUCCUACACAUUAAAGAGAAAUAUAAUAAUGACUGGUGGAUAGGACGGCUGGUUAAGGAGGGCUGCGAGAUUGGCUUUAUUCCAAGCCCGCUUAGACUGGAGAAUAUCCGCAUUCAGCAGGAGCAGAAGAGAGGACGUUUCCAUGGAGGGAAAUCGAGUGGAAAUUCUUCUUCAAGUCUUGGAGAAAUGGUUUCUGGCACAUUUCGAGCCACACCUACUUCCACGGCAAAACAGAAACAAAAAGUGACAGAACACAUUCCCCCAUAUGAUGUAGUACCAUCAAUGAGACCUGUUGUCUUGGUGGGUCCAUCACUAAAAGGCUAUGAGGUGACAGACAUGAUGCAGAAAGCUCUCUUUGACUUCCUGAAGCACAGGUUUGAUGGGAGGAUAUCAAUAACUAGAGUGACAGCUGACAUCUCUCUUGCUAAGAGGUCUGUUCUAAAUAAUCCAAGCAAGAGGGCAAUAAUUGAGCGGUCAAAUACAAGAUCCAGUUUAGCUGAAGUACAGAGUGAAAUUGAAAGAAUCUUUGAGCUGGCAAGGUCCUUACAACUGGUUGUCCUAGAUGCAGACACUAUCAAUCACCCUGCACAACUUAUCAAGACAUCUUUAGCACCAAUUAUUGUCCAUGUUAAAGUGUCUUCUCCAAAGGUUUUGCAGCGACUGAUUAAAUCUAGAGGAAAGUCACAAAGUAAACACUUGAAUGUUCAGUUGGUGGCAGCUGAUAAACUUGCACAAUGCCCACCAGAAAUGUUUGAUGUAAUUUUGGAUGAAAAUCAGCUUGAAGAUGCUUGCGAACACUUGGCAGAAUAUCUUGAGGCGUAUUGGCGUGCUACUCACACCACCAGUAGCACACCCAUGACUCCUCUCCUCGGGCGAAAUUUAGGAUCCACUGCACUUUCACCAUAUCCUGCCGCAAUCUCUGGAUUACAGGGAUAGCUCAAAAACGGCUGAACUUUGAAACUUCAAACGUGGCAUGUAAAUAGUCCUUAAUGAGAAGUACGUGCUUUACUCAGUUUGAAAACAGAAAAUGUUUUUGAUUAAUAGUUAUGAAUGCUUGAGAAGAUCAGGAUUGCAGCGAACUUUUAAUUCUGAAUAUUUCAGGAGUUCUGUAUGUGUGUGACUUCCUAGGGGCGUGCACUUUCUAACAUAUGUCAACAGUAGAGUUGAGUGAAUUACAUGUAACGAAUAAUUCACCUGAGAAAUUUAACCUUUGUUCUGCUUGUAGUGUGUCUGGAAGCAGGUAACAAUUUUGAAGGAAAUGAUGCCUUGGUCAGUGUUUUCAAUUAACAUAAAGCUGUUUUUCCUGUGAGUGAAUUGCACUUCACUGGAGGUGCAUGUUACUCACAUUUCUAAUGCUGUGCUUGAUUUUAUUAGGAUCAGUAAGUCACUGUUUCCUCACUGGCUGAAUGCACAAGCAGUGUUCUGUUACUAAUGAUAUGCACAUGUAAACUGUUGUUUCCAUUUUCACUUGCCUUAAAAUUUCAGUUUUUCCAUCCCUUCAUGACAAUAAAAUACCAUCUGCAGAACUUCCACUUCUUCAGUUUCAUUUUGAAAACUGGGUGUAUCCACAGAAUUUUUUUCAGGCAUUUAUUUCUCUCUGAUCAAUGGACACCAGCAGUAACUGUGAAAUGUUGCUCCAUUUACUUAGGGAAAACUCACACUGAAGAUGAAAAUCACCCCUGUGCAGUGGGCUGGCUGAAGAGCCAGCGUAUGAGGCACAGCAGCCAUUCCGCAGAGAACUCUCCAAUCGAGCGACGAAGUCUAAUGACCUCAGAUGAAAAUUAUCACAAUGAAAGGGCUCGGAAGAGCAGGAACCGCUUGUCUUCCAGUUCCCAACACAGCCGAGAUCACUAUCCUCUAGUGGAAGAAGAAUACUCUGACUCAUACCAGGACACAUACAAACCCCACAGGAACCGAGGAUCCCCUGGAGGAUACAGCCAUGACUCACGACAUAGGCUUUGAGUUCAAGAACCUGGGGAAAAAUAGUAUUCAUCAGUUGAUAAUUGCCAUAACGUAGCUAGGAAAAGAAAUUAAAAAUCAAUCAUGUUAAUUUGGCAGAUGUAACACGGUCAUACUGAAGUUGCACUCUGCUGUCACUUGAUGUUAAGUAGGGGACAAAAAAAAGUUACCAGGCCCUUACGUUUAUGCCCGAUCAUAUAGGUUGUUUUUUGGGUUACUUAUUUUAUUUUUACUACAGCAUUUGCAUUUAUAGCCAUAUUUUCUUGUCGUUAGAUAUUAGACACAUCCGUUUGUAAUUUAGGGUACUUAUCAAGGCACUUAUAAAAUAAUUUCCUGUGCUGGAAAUUCCAAAUGACCAGUUCCAGUUGGAACCAAUUUAUAAACCAAUUCCUGUUGGAAUUCGGGUGAAUUGACUGGAAAGUCGACGUGAGCAUGUUGCAAUCAGUUAAAAAAAAAUGCAAAUGAAAAAUCUGAAAAUUAGAAACCACUAGAAGCCGGAAAGUCAGCUAUUUGUUUGCUGGAAGCUCAAUUUACAUUUAAAGUUAGAAUAAAAGGAUUUAUUCUAGCUACUUAUUUCCAGGAUGGCUUUUUCAGACAGACCAAAUGUAAACUAUUGAGAGUGCCAAAUAUCACAAAUUAUUGCAGCAGUUAUAAAAUACUUUCCAGUUUGAAAUUCUUUUUAGACCUGGCGUGAAUGUUGCAGCAAAACAAUUUCUUUAGUUUAGCCGGUACUGACAUUUUUGUUGCAGUCAGCAAUGAUGAACUAUGGCAGGAGAAGGGGAAAUAGAAAUGGGAAAAUGAACAAACUGAAGAAUAGUUUAUAUGGUUAGAGGUUGAGAAUAGCUUGCUUUUAGCCCUGUUCUUUCCCUAUUGUUUUCCCUAGCUAGUAGUCCCAAAAUUUAACAUUAGUGUGUAGAUACAUCUUUUCUCCCAUUUUUAGUAUUCUGCCUUUUAAAAUGGAAAACGAUACGCUCUUCCUACCCAGUCACUACAUUCCAGUACAUCUGAGUAUCUACCUGUAUGUUACAUCUUUCAAAAUCCAUCUUUGAAAUGUCUGAAAAUUCAAGCAUUGCACAAGAACUCUCCAGAAGAUCAGUUUAAACAUCAGUAAUGAGAUCUGAGGGAAGGAGGGGGGAGUAAAUGUUCGUAAAUGAUGAACAUUUAAAAUAACACAUUGGUCAGAUUGCAAUAAAAAUGGAAUAUCAGGAAAAAAUCGGCUCACAGCAAAGUGGUAGAACUGACAUUUUUGAUUCAAAGAACUAUGAUAAAUCUUUGGAGAUGUUGCUGCCUUACUUCCUAACAAUCACUUCUUUUCACCUACUGAGUCUUCAGUUUCUUUAAAUAGAUAAAUUGAUGUGAUUGGACCUUAUGUCUUACGGGAUCAGUGAAGCCUUAGAUCCAGUGUGACUGAAAAAUUUACCAUGAUAGACUGUUUUGUACAACCCUCUAAUGUCUUUAAGCAGAGACUCCUGGAAUUCCCCACUGCAUUUCUAAAAUCGACAGAACUGUGCUGAACAUGCAUUUUUUUAAUGCAGGUUCCUGUCAAAACUCCCCCCCCCCCCCCCCCGAGGAUAAUUGACUUUUAUAUUUGCUUGUUUUCUUCCCAAAGCCUGCUAAAAGUAGGCUUUUAACCACACAGCACUAAAUUAAUUUCAUGAGUAUUACUGUUUCUUCUAUUUUCUGGACCAGUUAGCAAAGAUCACUGGUAUCUUCCACCACCAUUGAGUCUGGUUAUCUUCUUGAUGUUAACAAGAAAAUUAAUUCAUCCCAUAUCCAGUACAACCAAAAAUUAUGUCCAUCUCUAGCAGUGUUAAAAGAUUGCGGAUGCAUGAUUAAUUUUUUAAACGUCACUGCCUAAAAGGCAGCCUUCAGCACCACUAGAUGAUUCGAACGAGCCAGUUACCAAAUAAAAAAAGGAAAAUACCUGCAUCCAUUGGAGUAGCAGAGUUAAGAAUUGAUGUGACAGGCCUGAUCGUCUAUGAUUUUCUCAGGCUAAAUGCUUGCAGGUUCCAAAAGGGCAUUUAGGCUGAGAAAGCAUGGCAGGAUCUGGCCUGGGAAGGGUGGCUUCAGCUGCCUCCUCUAAUAUUUUCUGCUAUAGCACAGUGGAGCAUUUUCCAGUAAUUUCUACAAAUCUCUGUUACAUGUACAGCACACCUACCUGCAUGAGAACGAAGGCAUUAGGCAAAACAUUUUUUCUAUAAGCUUUAAUAGGUUUCUUGUUUGUGUGCAUUAAAGUAUUGCAAAGGAUGCACUGAGAUGUAUAAACCUAGAUUAGCUGUUUAUCUUUAUUCUGUAGUAGCAUUAGGGAUCAGAUCAUUUAACUGCUUGAAGAUAUUUGCAUUUUAAUGGCAGGUAGCUGCGAAGCACCUACGUAUAUUUUCUAGUAAACAAGGUUACUGCUUUAUCAUUUCCUAGACAGAAAUGUCAUUUACUUCUAGAGCCUUUUGGAGCCUUGUUUUUAAGUCUUCCAUGUCAUGUUAGUGAAGGGAAAGGUCUACACAACACAUAUGCACAAAUUCCAUCACCUGCAGCAUCUGAAGUGCCAAAACUAAUUCAUUUGUUCUAAUCAGAACAAGCUUAAGAGGGAUGUCAUUGUCUUGAAAGAACACACCAAGUUCCUUUACUGUGUGACUUUAAGUUUACUUUGCUACUGUGUGUAAUUAGUUUACCCUCUCCUCUCCCACUGCCCAUUCCAUUUUAAUAUAAGAAAUCAGUUAGCAGUGAUCCAGCAGGUCUCCUUGCUUGCUGUUUUUUUAUUUUUUGAAGAUAGAUAUAUCUUUAAGUACAAAUAUACUGAACUUGCUAAUAGAUUAUUAAUUUAUUCUAGAUACAAGCUAUGGGAACUCUAUUUUAAAAAGUAAAUUAUUUUUAGGAAAUGCAGUAAUCAGUAAAAGCUGCAAUGUUGAUCAGGACAUGUUAACUCAUAGUAUUUGUAUUAGAACUUCAGCAGUGCUAGCCAGCUGUAUUGUGAUUUCUUCUGCAAUGGCGCUAUAUACAAUUGUGAAGUUCAUGUAUUCCUGAACGAACAUGAGUAAGACUAAUUUUCCGGUCCUCAUACCAUUUCUUCUUGUUAUUGUAAUAUUAUUAAAGAUACGAGUUCUGUUCAUAAGCUCUGGCUUAUACAGAGGAUUUUAGACAUACUGAUAAAACACUGAUUUUUUUUUAAGUUGUUGUUAUCUGAGUUUUCAUGAGGAUACUUUUGGAUUAAUGACAAUUUACCCAAUAAAGGUGGUAACAACAAUCUUGAUAUCUAACGAUAGUAUAUGUCAGGGCAUUCAUAUGUUUGUGAAUGAAUUAACAGAAGUUUUUAAAAUCUUGAAGCCACUUUAAAGACAAUUAAUUGAUAAACUUUUAAUUUAAAAUACUUUGGCAAGUUGUAUUUAACAGACGUACAGGUUGUUUUACUAGUUCCACAGAUGAACAUUUAUCCCAUGGGAUGUGCAACUCGCAACUGAUUAUGUUUUCUGAGUGUAUUAUGAAAUUAGGUUUAAAGGAAUGUAACUGAAGCUGUUCUGUAUCCAAUUUUAGUUUAUAAAUAGUGGACCAAAUCAGAUGAUCAUUUUCUAAACAGGUUGGUCUGACAAAAAUCAGUCCCUCUGCUUGAGAUUUGAUGGCAUAGUAUGGCCCACACCGAGAUUUCAUCCUGACAAACCAUCUUGCCAUGAGAAUAGGUGGCGUCCCUGAUUUUGGACUUGAUAAGCAUGAUCGGUUCCUGAAGCAUGUGUUGUUCCCUCAGCCUGCUUCUGAUCCCACAUGGGCCCAGAUAAAUUCCAUGUGCCUGGGAGGGGAGGUGGCUCCACAACUCACAGCCUUGCCAGUGGUGGCACUCACAGCGUUAGUGCUGGGUUUGCUGCAAAUAGAGGGUUUACUGUGUUUUCGCUAGGUUUGAAAGCUGCUUCUGAAGUUGAUAUUUGGGGGGUUAAUCUUUUGCGCUCCUUGCUUUUAAAAUAAUGUUUAAUACAUACUUCAGAGAGUGAAAAUUGCAAAAAGGAGGAAGUGAGCUGUAGGAAUAAUAAGGUGACGGUAGUUCCUCUGCAUGUGCAUAGGCCUGUAACUCCAAGUUCAGUUUGACUGAAAAUCUGAAUUCAGUUUGGACUCAAUGCCACAAGUCUCUGAAACAUCCCAGAAUCUCAUCUCUCUAUUGGCAUUACCAUUCUCAAAAUAAUACUUCUAGUACUAUUACUUUAUAGCAUACUCAUUUGAGUAAGUUAGGGCUCUCAUUUGUCCUUUUUUGUUUAAGAAUGUAUUAAAUGUGUCCUCUGCUAUAUUUUGUUUUACAAGUUCAGUGCUUCUGAAGCUUGACCUUGACUCCAUGGUCAUAAUUUUUUUUUUUUUUUAAGCAAAAGUAAUUGGAGACCACAGAUUAAAAAAUCAGAUGUGUGUUUUGUAAAAUACCACUUAUACAACUCUGAUUUUGUUCCUAAAAGUGUGUAUUUUAAAAUUGGGUUAUAUUACUGCAGUUGGUAUUAAUACAGGUUUGGAUCCAUGGGAUUCUGCUACCAUGUAUUUUGUUGCAGUUGCCUCUCCUUUCUUCAGAUAGCUCUACAAAGAGUAACAGGACUGCAAGAUGCUGUAAUGUAGCCAAUUUUAACUCCAGGGAAAGUAAGUUCCCUCUAUCUUUAAAACAACAACAAAAGUAAAUGUAUUAUUUGAAGAAUCUGCAUUUGAAUAACCUUUGUUAGGUUGUUAUUCAGUCCAAUUGAUUUUACAUAGAAAAAUAAAAGGACAUUUUAAUAAAGUGGUGAAAUAUAUGUAAGGAAUUAACUUGGAGAAAGAGCUGAAAAUGCUACUUAGUAUUGAAAUUUGUGCUGAGAUCCAUUUCAUUAUUUGUGGAAUGCAUUUAAGAAGAGAAGUACUGAAUCCAUAGAGAGAAUUUUGGAAGAAGAUAGACAUCAUUUUAAAACGUUAAUAAGAGCAUGUCAUUCCUUUAUUCCUUUGAACAUGGUGAAACUGGGAGUAGCUCUGGCUUGGUCUCAGGUUUACUAGACCUGUCUUUUCCCCUCAGAUUUUUUGGCAGUGAGUUACUAUCUGGACUAGAUCCUACAGACACCUACAACUGGACACAGAGUUUAUAACUGUCUGCUCUGAGAGUCAGUAUUUGCAAGGUCUGACCAUAAAUAUCACAUACUGAUUAUCAGAUGCCUUAUCAGUAUUUCCUGAAAAACAAAAUGUAAUUAAAUUUAACGCCACAGUCCCCUUUGAUAUGCAUUCUACUCUGUAUAAGCAGUAGAAAAUCAAUAUAGUGAGAAAAUCUAUUGUACAGUACAGAAUAAUAUAUUUUGCCAAUGAUGUAAAAACAGAGCAAGGAAAAAGAAGCACAUUUGUAAUAGCACAAAUUUACAAUAAUUCCACUAUUGCAUUUGGUGGUGUAUUUUUGAAAAAAGGAGGUAGACUUUUUGAUCCAGCAUCAGUGGAUUUAUUGCAUUUUUGAUCAGUUUAACUUGCUGUCUGAUACUUCAGGUUUAUUUUAUGCAUAUGUGAUUGUUUUUUCAAAAACGGUAUCCUUCCAUAUUAAUUAAGGAAAAAAAACCCAAACCUUUUGAAUUAGAAAGUCCACUGCAUUUCUUGCCAAUUUCCUCCUCAAUGCUGAAAUUACAUUAAAUAACUUCUGAUUUUGGCCACUGUAUAGAUUUUUGGCAUAUGACUGAUGAAUACACCACGAAUACACUAGGAGCCCAAGGUCAGGAGUGAACUACUCCCAGUAAAUAAGUUCUUGGGGCUGCAGAGCUACUUGCUUUAAUGUAUGGGAACGGGGAGGUGGGGGAAGAGAAUAUUACUCUGCAAGAGCUGUGGACAAGUACACCCAAAACCUUCCACUGAUACUGCUGGGAAUUUAAAAUGGGAGGAAAGUAAGCUUAAGGAAUGUGUGCGUGGGGCCAAGGUGUAUUUGCAUUGGAAACACACCAGAUUCUCUUCUCAUGCAGAGAAAGUCAGUGAUACCGUACCAGAAUAGCAUAGGAAGAGAAUCAAGCAAAAUGCAAACUGUAUGUACACAUGAGAAAUAGAGGGAUGAAGAAGGAUGAAAACGGUCAUUCGAAACUAUGGACCUUGGGCUUCUCAGAUCCCAGAAAAUCUCCAUUUCUCACCCAAACUGGUUCCCAGUGAUAACUUGGCAGUGUUACUUCCAGCCUCACUGGGAGACAGUUCAGAGUCACGCUGGUAAAGACAUUACUGCCUUUACAAAAAAAAAAAACCAAAAACCCAAAAGUAAAAAUACACCCACAAAUGUGUGUUUUCUGCUGAUUUGCCCCUUUCUGGUUUUCCUUCUAUAGAUACUGUAUGUGUAGCAUUCUACAAGGCAUGCUGGGUAAAAUAUACUAUGCAAAUGUGUACAGUGUUGCAUGCUUUGCUCUCCCUCUGCUUUUAGUGGCUUUCAAAGAAAGAAAAGUGGUGUUAUUUUUGUGACCAGAAUCAUUUAAAAAGGACAAUGCAGACUGCAUGCUGAUAGUAUCCUCAUUUCUAUGGAUUUGUUUUAUGGAAUUUAGAUGUACAAAAAUGAACUGCAUUACAAUAACUUUUCUACAAUAAAUGAAAAAACUACAAAC